GGCUUGGGGGGAUCUGGUCGCACCCCAGGCCGGAGGAAGGCUCCGUGGGUGAAACAAAACUCCAUCCAGCCCCAGCCCAACAAGCCCAGGAGCCCCACACAGCUCACGUGGGGCUCGGCCACAGCUCUGGGUGCCCACCGGUGCCGCAGGCAGGAUCGGUGCCCUCCCAGCCAGGCAGUACCGGCACCAUUCACUCCUCCUCCCUCCGCUUCUUCUUCCUCUUCUUCUUCUUGGGACCGUGCUCAGCCUGCUCUGCCCCUUCUGCCUCUUCUAGAGGUAAUUCUGCCUCAGCCAGUUCUUCUUUCUCCUUCUUUUUCUUCUUCUUUCUCUUCACAACCUUCUCUUCCUCUCCUUCCACCUCCUCUUCUCCGCUUGGCUCGCAGCUCUGCGGCGCCUCAGCCUCAGCUCCAUCUCCAGCCCGUUUCUUUUUCUUCUUUUUCUUCUUUUUCUUCUUCUCCUGCAGCUCUGCGGGCUGGGGCUGCUCCCUCUUCUGCUGGUACGUGGCGAGGAAGGCUCGCUCCUGCUCCUCCAGGCGCGCCAGCUUGGCGCUCAUGGUCAGGCCGUGACGGGCCCCCCUGCAACAACCCCAGGUUUAGGGCGCUCAGAGCGGGGUCCAGCACCCCCUGGGCCAGAAUGUGCCCCCCGGGGCCCAACCUGCCAGGAGCAGGGAUCCCAAAAACGCAGCCCCCCCCCGCCUCAGCCACUCACUUGUGUGCAGUGCGGCCCCCGCAUGCUCUCACCAGCUCCUCAUCCGUCAGCCUGGGGACACAAUCAGGAGGUGUCACCCCCAGCACCGUGACACCGAGCCACAGCAGGGCUUCCCCUGCCACCCCCAUCCCUCCCUCCUUGCCUCCGGGCCGAAGAGCGGUCCAAUUUCUCCUCCUCCUCCUCCUCCUCCUCGCUGCUCUCCGAGCCUGCGGGCAGCUUGGCCGGCUCCUCGCCGCGUGCCGUGAGCGUGGCUGCCUGCCGAGGGAAAAGGGGGACGUGGAAAAAAGGGUUUGA
rnacentral:lncRNA from 1 species